CCACCUGGGAAUUACGAGCCCAAGCUUAAAACCCAAAGGACUUGACGGUGUCCCACCCACCUAGAGGAGCCUGUUCUAUAAUCGAUUCCCCCCGAUUUACCUCACCACUUUUAGCCAACAGCCUGUAUACCUCCGUCGCAAGCUUACCAUGUGAACGAACUUAGUGAGCUAAAAGAUCACCAUCCACACGUCAGGUCAAGGUGCAGCCAACAAAGCGGAAAGCAAUGGGCUACAAUUUCUAAAAUAGAAUAAACGAAAUACUACAUGCAACACAGUCAUGAAGGCGGAUUUAGUAGUAAAAAGAAAUCAGAGAGUUCUUUUUAACUAGGCACUGGGACGCGUACACACCGCCCGUCACCCUCUUCAAAUGCAACCUCAACGUUAAUAACAUCAAAUCGCACUACAGAAGAGGCAAGUCGUAACACGGUAAGCGUACUGGAAAGUGCGCUUGGCUUAACAAAAUGUAAUUUACUCUAAAAUAUCCCGCUUACACCGAGAAUAAACUUGUUACAUCAAGUCAUUUUGAAGCCUAAAACCCAGCCCUUAUUCACCCCCCAUACUUUCUUCUUUCCCCCCCCCCACCCCCCAAAACAUUUUCUCAUCUUAGUAAAGGCGAUUAAAAAGAAAUUAGGAGCUUUAUAUUCAGUACCGCAAGGGAAAAGUGAAAUAAUAAUGAAAUACUAUUAAGCACAACAAAGCAAAGAUUCAACCUUGUACCUUUUGCAUCAUGGUCUUACAAGUCUAAUCAAGCAAAACGAACCUUAAGUUUGCCCCCCCGAAACUAGACGAGCUACUUCAAAACAGCCCAUCGAGCCAACCCGUCUCUGUUGCAAAAGAGUGGGAAGAUUUUCAAGUAGAGGUGAUAAACCUAUCGAGCCUAGAGAUAGCUGGUUACUCAGAAAAAGGAUGUUAGUCCUACCUUAAACAUUUCACUAACUUAUAGUACAUCAACAGAUUUAAGAGCUAUUCAAAUAAGGUACAGCUUAUUUGAAAUAGGAUACAACCUACCCCACAGGGUAAUGAAAAUUAAUACGACUAAGUAGGCCUAAAAGCAGCCAUCUUUUAUAAAGCGUUAAAGCUAUAUCGUACUAAACACUAAUCCCCCCCAACACUCAAAACCCUUCAUCUGUACUAAGUGACCCCAUAACUCUAUGGAAAACCUUAUGUUAGAACUAGUAACAAGAAAUAGACUUCUCCAACAAUGUAAGUGUAAGCCAAAAUGAACCAAUCAUUGGCAUUCACCGUUCAUGAACAUAUAGUAACAACACAACUCGAAAACCCUACUAAUUUAGACGUUAACCUUACACUAGAAUUUUUCAGGAAAGAUUAAAAAACAUGGAAGGAACUCGGCAAAUAGUAACCCCGCCUGUUUACCAAAAACAUCGCCUCCCGUCAUUCAUAGGAGGUCCAGCCUGCCCAGUGAAUCAUAUUAAACGGCCGCGGUACCCUAACCGUGCAAAGGUAGCACAAUCACUUGUCCUUUAAAUAAGGACUAGUAUGAACGGCAUCACGAGGGUUACACUGUCUCCCCUGUUCAAUCAGUGAAACUAAUCCCCCCGUGAAGAAGCGGGGAUGCUUUUAUAAGACGAGAAGACCCCAUGGAGCUUUAAACCCAGUACCACUUGCAUCUAUUACACCAUGUUAAUUAGCAAAUCUGACUACUAGUUUUUGGUUGGGGUGACCGCGGAGCAAAGUAAAACCUCCACGACGAACGAAACUAACUUCUAAUCAAAGAGCUACAACUCGCAGAAUCAACACAUUGACUAAAAUUGACCCAAUAAUUUUGAACAACGAACCAAGUUACCCUGGGGAUAACAGCGCAAUCCAUUUCAAGAGCCCCUAUCGACAAAUGGGUUUACGACCUCGAUGUUGGAUCAGGGUGUCCAAGUGGUGCAGCCACUACUAAAGGUUCGUUUGUUCAACGAUUAAAACCCUACGUGAUUG
rnacentral:rRNA from 1 species